rnacentral:lncRNA from 1 species
GAAGCAUCAGGGUGGCAGGGCUGUGUGUGCCCAAAUCAAUUUAUGUAAUACAUACAAAAAAUAUAAAGUGCAGAAUAAGAUGACAAAUCAAGAUUCAUGCUUAAUAGAAAAAAUACGAACAUAUUUUCCAUCGUGCCUCUACACGCCUGUGGAGCCCCACUAGACGGAGACACCAUGGGAGGCAAGCUGAGCAAGAGGAAGAAGGGGUACGAUGUCAGCGACCCAAAGGACAAGAAGGAGGAGAUUACUGUGGCUGCUGUGAGUGCCGUUGAGGCCGUGGCCCAUGCCGUGGAGAGCAAAGCACCAGCUCCGGUCGCUGAGUUGGCAGCGAAGACUGCUCCUAAGGUGUCUGCUGAAGUGGAGGGAGCAGUGGAGUCGGCAGCGGUAGCCAUCACAGAAGCGACAGAAGAGGCCCUGUCAGCUAUAGAGGCAGUGGCCAAGGGGGCCACCGCAGAGCCAGCGGCUGUACCAGAUGAACCCGUGGCAGCACCUGGAGAACCAGCGCCAGCAGCAAAGGAACCAGUGGCUUCAGAAGAACCAGCUGCAGCACCAGAGGACCCAGCGUCAGCUGCAGCACCAGAAGAACCUGCAGCCCCAGAAAAGCCAGCGGUGGCACCGGAAGAACCUGCGCCAGCAGCAGAAGAACCAGUGGCUUCAGGAGAACCAGCUGCAGCACCAGAGGACCCAGCGCCAGCUGCAGCACCAGAAGAACCUUCAGCCUCAGAAGAGCCAGUGGCAGCACCGGAAGAACCUGCAGCAGUAGCAGAGGAACCAGCCGCAGCUCCAGAAGAGCUUGCAGCUCCAGAAGAGCCCGUGGCAGCACCGGAAGAACCUGCAGCAGCUGAGGAACCAGCAGCAUCACCAGAGGAACCUGCGGCAGCACCAGAGGAACCUGCGGCAGCACCAGAUAAAACAAAGGCACCGGAAGAACCAGCGGCACUAGAGGAACCAGCGGCUGCACCAAAAGAGCCUGCAGUGGAAGAGCCUGUACCAGAAGAGUCUGCAACAGCACCAAAAGAACCUGCACCAAAAGAGCCCGCAGUGGAAAAGCCUCCACCAGAAGAGCCUGCGGCAGCACCAAAAGAGCCUGCACCAGAAGAGCCUGAGGCAGCACCAAAAGAGCCUGCACCAGAAGAGCCUGAGGUAGCCUCUGUGGAGCUAGCUGCAGUACCAGAAAAGGCUUCUGAGGCUACAGAACAAGCCACAGAGGUGACAGCAGAGAUUACAGACACUACAGAACCAGAGCCUGCUGCUCCAGAGCCUGAAACAGAGACUGUUACAGGGAAGGCCCCAGAACCUGAGGCUGUGGUCGAGGCACCAGUAGAGGCAGAAGCAGCUUCAUCCGCCCCGGAGGAGGAGCCUGCAUCAGUUGCAGAAGCCGUGUCAGAGUCAGCCACAGAGGCAGCCGCAGAGCCAGAGGCAGAAUCCAUCCCACAACCAGCCGCUGAAGAGCUCCCCCUACCUAUAGAAGAAUCCGUAGCAGAGCUUGAAUCUGAAGCUGCUGAUGCAGUAACUGAAGCAGCAGAGCCUGAGGCUGCCGACAUUGCAGAACCCAUCCCGGAGAUCAUCAUUUCAGAAUCUGCUGCACCUGCGGCUGCAGAGGAGGCCAGCGCUGAGCAAGAGGAGGCUGUGCUGGACAACAAGGAAGUUGUUUCCGCAGUGGAGGCUACUGCUGAGCCUUCUGCCCCUGAGGUCAAUGGGGAGUGUCAGGAGCAGGCAGCCGAGCCGGCUGCCGUGUCUGCCCCGGAGCCACAGCAAAAGGAAUGUGUCAACGGCAUUGACAAGCCAGAGGAUGCCGUUGAAGUGCAAAGUGACUGCGAAUUAAAAAAGAACUUGAACCUGACUGGCGACAUCCAGAUUCCUGAGGCAAUCGGUGAGGCAAUAAGUCAGGCUGUAGACUUGGUCUGAAGCUAAUAUAAAUGUGAAGUCCCUAAUGAUCCGAAAAAAAACCUCCAACACAGGCUUCUGAAGAUAAAUAUAAAAAUGCCUGUUGUGGCAAAGGAGUUUCCGAUUAACCAAAAGGAAAUACAACCACUCAAGUGUAGAGAGGGGGAGUGAGAUACAUGUAGGAAGAGAUGUGAGACAUGGAUGCAGUGUGCCCCACUGAGUCUUUGUGCCCCAUAUGUCAUUGCAGAAGGGCAGCCUGUGUUUGCAGUAUUUGUGGUGAGAUGAAAGCCAGCGAAAUUUGAGGGAUGAGUAUAGGAAAACCGGAAACAAAACUGGACAACAGAGCAAAAAAUGUGACAUUGGAAAUGUUGAAUGGAAUGAAUAGUCUUGUCUUUGUGUGGGAGGCUGAUGAAUAUUAAAAAUGUUUUUUUGUAAUAGCAUUCAAUAAUGAUCUAAUUUAGACUUUCACAUAUCCUUUCCUUAACUAUACGAAAAAAUAAUGGAUGAAAAGUUUUGGCCUUUUAUAGUGGUGCAAACAGUGAGGAAUGUUCAUUAAUGGCUUGGAAUAGAC